rnacentral:ncRNA from 2 species
UUAUUCUUUCGGGGCAGGGUGAAAUUCCCAACCGGCAGUAAAUUAAAGCCUGCGACCCAUUAAUAUUUUUACGUAUUAAUGGCUGAUCUAGUGAGAAUCUAGAGCCGACAGUUAAAGUCUGGAUGGGAGAAAGAAUAU